GACGGGGGAUGCAAGUGUUAUCCGGAAUCACUGGGCGUAAAGCGUCUGCAGGUGGUUUCCUAAGUCCACUGUUAAACCUUGAGGCUCAACCUCAAAUCUGCAUUGGAAACUAGGAGACUUGAGUAUAGUAGGGGUAGAGGGAAUUUCCAGUGGAGCGGUGAAAUGCGUUGAUAUCGGGAGGAACUCCGGCGGCGAAAGCGGUGCACUGGUGGAUUACUGACGCUGAGGUGCGAAAGCCAGGGGAGCAAACGGG
rnacentral:rRNA from 1 species